GGACUACUGGGGUUUCUAAUCCUGUUUGAUCCCCACGCUUUCGCGCCUCAGCGUCAGUUGUCGUCCAGAUAGCCGCCUUCGCCACCGGUGUUCCUGCUAAUAUCUACGAAUUUCACCUCUACAUUAGCAAUUCCGCUAUCCCCUCCGACACUCCAGCUUGACAGUUUCAAAGGCAAUUCUGGGGUUAAGCCCCAGGAUUUCACCCCUGACUUGACAAGCCGCCUACGCGCGCUUUACGCCCAGUAAUUCCGAACAACGCUAGCACCCUUCGUAUUACCGCGGCUGCUGGCAC
rnacentral:rRNA from 1 species